UACAGAGGUGGCAAGCGUUGUUCGGAAUUACUGGGCGUAAAGGGCGCGUAGGCGGUCUUCUAAGUCUUGUGUGAAAUCCCUCGGCUCAACUGAGGAACUGCACGGGAUACUGGAAGACUUGAGUUCGGGAGAGGGAAGCGGAAUUCCGGGUGUAGCGGUGAAAUGCGUAGAUAUCGGGAAGAACACCAAAGGCGAAAGCACUCUGCUGGGCCGAAACUGACACUGAUAGACGAAAGCUAGGGGAGCAAAUGGG
rnacentral:rRNA from 1 species